rnacentral:misc_RNA from 1 species
CCACCCUCACGCUCCCCGCGUGGUGUUGGGGCUCUCUCGCUACGAGAGGCCCCGAAAGCCAGUGGCGGACCGCCUGGUUUGGCUCCGAGCGCAGUAAACUUUACUUCUCGCUCUGGACGGCCAGCGGCCCUGCCGUGAAAGCCGUGCUCGCAAGAGCACUAAAUCUUCACAA